CCCAGUUUAUCCUAGAAGUUCAAUCAAUUUUUUUGACUGUUUAUUUGACAUUUGACUGUUUUUCAAUUCGAAAACAGUCAAAUUUUCUGACCAAUCAACACAGUACACCUUUAUUAGCAGUAAAAUCACUAAACGGGUCGGGUAAACAUCCCAUCCGGUUUGUCCUGAACAAACAAACCCCCCUCCUGAUUCAGGGACCACACAGCAAAAACAGUCGAACACCAACUCCCUCAUCCAUCAUCUCUCUUCACCUCUUGCAAGAACAAAAAACUGAAGGAGUUUCCUGCAUGUACAAAAUAGAUAGAUCAACAUCAGAAAACAUCCCAGAAAAAUCCAUAGUGUAAAAAACCAGAAAAUUACAGUGUAAACCCCCUAUGUAACUAGUCUUUCCUAACAGUUUACACUGUAAAUUCCCCAUAAAUUCCAGUGUAAGCAUGUAGACAAACGAUGCUAUUACAUUGUAAGUACACAAAUAAUUACAGUGUAAAUCAUAGACAUCAGAAAAGAUGAACAUCAGAAAUUACAGUGUCAAUUUCCAGUGUAAGUCCUAGAAAUUACAGUGUAAAUCCCCAUGUAAACUAGUUAAUUUCCAGUGUAAAUCCUAGAAUUUUACAGUGUAAAUCCCCAUAUAAACCCAGUCAAUUUCCAGUGUAAAACCCAGAAAAUUACAGUGUAAUCCCCAUGUGAACUAGUCAAAACUUCCAGUGUAAAAUCCCAGAAAUUACAGUGUAAAUCCCCAUGUGAACUAGUCAAAAAUUCCAGUGUAAAAUCCCAGAAAAUUACAGUGUAAAUCCCCAUGUAAACUAGUCAAAAUUCCAAUGUAAAUCCCAGAAAAUUAGCGUGUAAAUCCCCAUGUAAACUAGUCUUGCACCUAGAAAAUUCCAGUGUAAAAUUCCCAUAAAUUCCAAAGUAAAGAAAUGAUGGAAUUACAUUGAAAAGUAUACACUGUAAAAUCCCCAUAAAUUCCAGUGUAAGCAUGUAGACAAAAGAUGUAGUUACAGUGUACAUCAUAGACAUCAUAAAAAUUCCCCAUGUAAAUCCAGUGUAAAUCCAGUGUAAAAUCCUAGAAAAUUACAGUGUAAAUCCCCGUGUAACUAGUCUUGUACAUAGAAAUUUCAAGUGUAGAUUUCCCAUAAAUUCCAGAGUAAAGAAAAUGGUGUAAUUACAUUGAAAGAACACUUUACAGAGUAAAAAAUGCAGCGAAGACAAAUGAUGUACUUACAGUGUAAAUCACAUAGUAAAUUAAAUUGUAAAUGCAGACUUACAUUUAAAAAAAAUGAAAAUUACACUGUACCUACCUGGAAAUUUUCCACUGUAAAACCCCUAGAAAUUCCACUGUGAAAUUAAACAUGUAAAAAUCCAGUGCAAAACUAAAGGGUUUUUACACUGUAGUUACCUAGUAAAUUGCAGUGCAAAACCCCUAAAAAAAUACAGGGACUAUCUCCUGCCCCUCUCCCAAUAGAAAGAAGCAUUUCUAAAAAAACUUUCAUCUAUUACUAAACGUUUUGCUCUCAUGAUUAUGUUAACACUGACAUUCUACUUUCCAAAUGUCAUAGGAGAGGAGCGUGAUGAGCGUAGUAACUGAAAAGGAUCUACUAAGAUUAUCACAGGAAGAACUCAUACUAAAUGUGCGAUGCAAUUGCUAGAACUUUGGGAAUAUGUUUAAAAUACAUAAAAGGGUAAAAGGCUAAAAAUAUUAUGAUGCAGGAAACAUUUUCUUUCACUGUGCUCCUUCACUCCGACAUUAUAUACAAGGUAAAAAUCCCAAAAAAAUACUAGGUGCAUUCAGGAGAUGUCUAAAAAAAGAACUUGUGAUGAACCUUGCAGGUACAUUCAGGAUUCAGGAGAGGUAUCUAUGAACAUUACCGAAACUAUCUACGAAAACUCCAGGAGCAAAUCAGAUGACAGCUUCAUCACAACAAGAGAUGACAAUGUAAGCAAAACAACAGCUGAAUAACUAUUACAAGAAAAUGCCGAAGGAAAACACACUAACAAUCAAUAAACUUACUUUGUAGACACUGGAGGCAGAAUUGCAUCAGGAAAUACCAGCAAGCGAAGAUGGGGGAGGAGAAUCCAAUCCCUGGGACACAAACCUGUUCUAUAACAUGAAUCUGCAACAGGUACACACCACAAAAAUUCAGAAAAUACAAAACAAUGAACAUAAAUGAAGGGCAGAACAUGUUCAGAAGAAAGUAACUGAAAACAAAUCCCUAAAAGUUGCAGGACCCUCAAGAUGUUAACCCCAGUAAAGCAGUAGCUAAAACAAACUCAAGCGCGGGUGAUAGCAAUGAAGGAGGAAGAAAAGAACAAGAAGACUCACUUGGACAAGAUGGAGAUGAUGAAUUCCUUGAUGAACAAAUUACACUGUAAGUGCAGAACAAAUUACACUGUAAAUUUGGGACAAAUUACACUGUAAACAUUGGGUACAUUACACUGUAAAUGCAGGACAAAUUACACUGUAAACUUGGUACAAAUUACGCUAGGAUUACACUGUAAAAAUUGGCUAGAAUACACUGAAAAGUGCUAUACAUGAAGGGGGGCAUGUACACAAAUCCCCAACUUCCUUCAGAAAAUUACACUGAAUGUGCUGGCACAAAUUACACUGAAAUUAAACUCAAAAAUACAUGCCUGCUUGAACUCAAAACAUCAUACAAAACAUCUGAAGUCAAUUACACAUCAGCAUGAGAAAAACCUAACUCUGUAUAGGCACAAAAGCAAGCUACACAGAUGCAUACAGCAGCAAUCAUCAGGACGUAAUAGACCAGAACACAAAAAUCCGUGGAAUCACGCACCUACAGGGGGGUCACAUCUACACAAUCCCCCAAACUACAACAACCCGUGGACAGGAGACAUGAAAACAACCACUGCAUCUACAACUAUAUCAGCGGCGCGGGGAGGCGCACAAAUCACGCACCUCCACCUUCAGCAGGGGGUCAACCAUAAAAUCAUGCAUCUCCAACUACAAAACAGGUGCUCGGGAAGACAUACAAAUCACGCAUCUCCAACUCCGGCAGGGAGUCAACAAAAAUCAUGCAUCUACAACUACAAGCACGGCACAGACAAAUCAGGCAUCUCCACCUCCAGCAGGGAGUCAACAACAUCAUGCGUCUACAACUACAACAGUGCGCGAGACGACAGGGGCACGACGACAGGGACGACAUGAACUCACCUAGAUCUAGAACCAGACGCAAGCAAAAAGCACACGGGCAGAGAGCGGAAGAGAGCGGAAGAGAGGAACAACCAACCGCGACACUGGGGAUCGAAGAGAAAGGGAACAAAAAUCAAAAUCGAGCGGCGAGAAUCGCCAUGGACGGGGAGAAUCGCCUGCUGUGCUGCGCCGCUCGAGCUUAUCAAAACAGAGCGUCCAGAAUGGGGAAAGGGGAAAAGACACUCUCCCAAAUUCAAACGAGACAAAAACCGAACAGAG
rnacentral:lncRNA from 1 species